CGUGUAGGCGGUUUGACAAGUCUGGUGUGAAAGCCCUUGGCUCAACCAAGGAAGUGCAUCAGAUACUGUCAAUCUUGAGUACGGGAGAGGAAAGCGGAAUUCCCAGUGUAGAGGUGAAAUUCGUAGAUAUUGGGAGGAACACCGGUGGCGAAGGCGGCUUUCUGGACCGAUACUGACGCUGAGACGCGAAAGCGUGGGGAGCAAACAGGAUUAGAUACCCUGGUAGUCC
rnacentral:rRNA from 1 species